AUAAAUCUCUGGGCCAGAAGUUCAUAGAAAUAAUAAAUUCUUUAAUGGCACGAACACACUUCACAUAAACUUCACAACAGAGGGAGUAUUAACUGAUCGAAGCACUGUAAUAGGAGAACUACAUAUCAAGUUGUCAUCUAAGAAUCCACCAUACUUGGCUCAUGAAGGCUUAACAGGAUUAGGCCCAAUUAGAGGAGAAUGUCAAGAGGCCUGAAUACAUAAUGAGUCAGCUUUCUCUUUUUUCUUCUCCUUUCUCAGUAGCUCGGUGAAGCAACAUAUUGGUUUUGCUCCAGCCAACUGGCCUUCACUUGUACUUGUAAAACCUACCUAUCUCUUCUUCCUAUGAUUUACUUCCUUUCUAUUUGUUUCUUCAUCCAUGGAUUUAACAUCCACUCAUACGGAUUUAAUACACCCCUCCCUCAUACCCUUCCUGUCUAAUUUUUAUUGCGGAAAGAUGCUCAAUUGGAUAUUCUCUCAACAUCAAAAGCGACAUUGCAUUUUAUUUGUCAAAGCACCCAUAGCAGAAAAGAUACCAUACUGUUUGUAACCUGCAACAUAUACAUAGAAGAUAAUUGAAUGAGCAAUUUCACAUGAGUGGAGACUACAAACAAAAUAUUCAGAAACUACCCAUUAGUAUUUUACAACUAUAACAUAAGGAAAAUAAACAAUCAGAUUCUACGUGCUCAAAUAUUAGAUCACUAAAGAAUCUUGAUAGAAUUGAACAACCUUUCAUCCAGGAUCUUAAAAUACGACCAGUAUCUAGAGAUAAUCUCUACAGGUAGAGAUUACUAUUAUUCAGUUUAGUAAUUUGAAGAGAAAUGCCUUAACUCCAUCUACCUAUGUAGAGCAGGUGAACCUGAUCAAUCUACAGUUUCGGUGAUGAGUUUGUGAAGAAGGUUAGCAUCUGAUUGAUGCGGCAUCCCUCCCUGGGUAAUGGUGAUUGCUUUACCUUCUGAACCUCCACAAUUUUGAUUUCAGCGUCUUUGAGAUGAGAACCAACUCUUCUCAGCAUGUUGGAGGAGUUUCUAGAGUGACGCUUCUACUGGUACAUUAAUAAAACAAUACCAUGGUUCAAUGGUAAUUCAGAUAAGGCAAACGGUUUGAGAGAGAAACAAAGCAUUUAAACAGAUUUAUUCAAGUGGCUGUUGUAUGAUGAUUCAUUCCAUUUACCUCUUAACAAUGAUAAGAAUGAGCUACAACUAUAAUUACUUCAAUGGAGCUGAAUUAAUUAGCUAAUGAAUUGGCAUGCAUAUAAAACAGAAUGGAACCCACCAUAUCAAUUUUAUGUGCAUCAACAUUUACUCGUUAAAAAACAAAGAACAAUUUAUGCACAUCCACAUAUGGUCGGUAAAAAAAUAGAGGAUGGAAAUUGCUCCUCUACUAUCUGUAUGCAUCCACAUACACCCAUUCGGAAGAAAGAGAAUGCUAAUUACUCCUCUAACGUCUAUAGAACUUGAGAAACAAGAGCCAAAACUUUUAUCCAGUGGAGCCUAAGCCUAACUCUUGAUAUGUAUAGAAGCAAUUGCAUUGAACAAAACACAUAAACAAAAUGACCAAAAUAAAAGCAAAUGUAAACUUAUUUGUACUCCAGGACUGACAUAUGUUUUUUUCACAACACCACAACAUACUAAUAUGCAAGAACACUGGAUGCAAAAAGACAUCUCAUACCUAGAUUUUCACGAGAUGUCUUUUCCAUGCUGGCCACAAAUUGUUCACCUAGACACUUGACUAACAAUGUUAGAUCCCAGUUCUCCAAUUUCCUUACCCAUUUGCUUGGUGCACAAAUGCCCCAGCAAAAACAUUUUCAUACACAUUCAGUGUGGAUCAGUACACCGUUCGAAGAAAAUCAAUGAGAACAGAGGAAGUGGCAACCUGCAAACUGAAGAGGACCAUGUCGUUUAGGGAGGGGCAAGGAGGCAGGCAUCGUUGAGCCUGACGCACAUCAGAGCUGACAUUUUUGUCCUCCAUUUUGCUGCUCCGGGAGAAGACUAUGCUAAUAUAAUUGAAUCUCAAAAGUGAACAAAUUAUAGCAUACUGAAAAAAUCAUCAAAAGUGACCAAACUCGAGCAUAUGCACUUUAACACAUUAGCCAAGCAACUAAAAACAGAAAUUCUUGAGAAUUGCCAUGGAGUCUUAAACAAACAUGAUCUCUGAAAAUAAUACACUGGAAUAAAUUAACCAUUCUAACAAUGUCCAUGGACCUGCAGGCACAAGCAAAUCGAAAGAAAGCUGAGGAGCACGGAAGGGAGAGUGAGCAGGAGGAGAGGCAAAGCAAGGGAAUGGAAGAAAAGCUCAUAGGGAAGGUGCAGACAGAAGGGAAGAGGGAGUUCGACGGCAUUGCUACUCCUUAAUGGUGCGCCUCCUCCACGACGGUGCAACCAGGGCCCUUGCUCGACGACGCGGGACCGGCCAGUAGGUCGUCCUGGCGGCUUGUUGAUGGCGUGCUCGAUGCGGGCUUCCUGCCCGAAGGCUCAUCGACGGGCGUCCCAUGGCUCGCGGUGGCGGCGGCCCCUGGCCUCUUGUGCAGCACCCCGGCUGCGGUAUGGCACCACGAACAAUAGCUUCCUCCCGGCAGCAUGGUCGUAGGACAGAGAGGAGGGAGGCAGAAUGGCGGCGGCUGCUAACGAGGAUGGAGGAGGAGGGAGGACUACGUGCUGUGGGGCUUGGUGAGGCUAGGGUUUGUCCCGUGGGGGCUGGGGGCCUGGGGACUUCCACAACGUGAGAGGAGACGCGGUCGGGUCAUGCGGAGAUUGGGCAGCAAAUCCCCUCGCACAUGGGCGUGACUGACGCAACCAAUGAACACGCGAGACGAGCCCACUCGUCAUUGGACAUAAAAAUGACCCCGAGGUGAAAAAAAAUUUAACCGAGGGCAAAGAUCCAAUGGUGCAGCUGAGCUAAAUGCCAGAUUGAAUGGCCAGGAAGGAGCCAAUCCGAGGGAGCUUCGUGGAGGGAGGUCGGCUAGCAUCCUUAUAUGUUUAAAUACCAGAAGAUGGGCCCUGAAGGUGGGCUGGGCUGAGCACAACCCAGCAGGUGGCCCCCCUCUGGUAGUUAUUCACUUCUAGGGAAAAGCCUAUACACAGAAUUUUAGCAGCAGCGCGGCUCAAAAAGGAGCGCUGCUGCUAAUUAGUAGUAGCGUGUGUGCUGGAAACUCGCUGCUAAUAAAUUUUUAGCAGUAGCGCGCUCUGCGUAAACCGCGCUGCUACAAAUAUCCACCGGUGGUGUUCACUAAGCUCCAUUUAGCAGUAGCGUCGUGGCCUGAACCGCGCUACUUCUACGGAUGUAGUAGUAGCGCGCUUUUACUGGGAUCGCUGCUGCUACAUUUCAAAUUGCCAAAAAAUUUGUCACUGUUAGCAGUAGCGUCGUUGCCCAAAGCGCGCUGCUGCUUAUUAUUUAGCAGCAGCGCGUUUCUCCUCCCGCGCUACUGCUAACCCGCACCAACCCACCACCUUUCCCCACCCAUGCCUCCCCUCCCCCUCAUCUCUUCCCUUCCCCUACCUCCCCCACAUGCUCCCACUCUCAUUCUUCUUCUUCCUCAAUACUUCUCCCCCAUUACUCUUUCUCUUCUAUCCACCUUUCUCUCUCUUCAUUACUCCUACCUAACUACACCACCUUCAUUAAUGCAUCUCCUUUCUCUUUUUCCUUUCCCCUUCAUAGUUGAAGUUGUCUCUUCCCAAAUUAGCUAGGUAGGUAGAUGUAGCACUUAGUUAAGUGACUUAUUUGCCCCCUAACUAGAUCUAUCUUUGUCAAGAAGAGCUUUAUGCACUUUUGAUCUCUCACUACAACAUCAUCUCCAUCGUGUGCUCGAUCUCGAUCGAGAUAGAGGUGAUGAGAAUUUCAUGCUUUUGCAAAAUGAAAAUAUGUUUAUGUGUGUGUGAUAUGUUUGUGGAAAUUGUGUGUGUGGCACGCCAAAUUGUGCUUUUGAGUUGCCUAUGUUUUGCCGAAAUGUUGAUUUAUUUCCGUUUCGGCGAAUUCCGAGCAAACUCUAGAUCCAUAUAUGUCCUAUUUUUAGGGAAGCUCAUGCCAAAUUUUUUUAUGACUUUGAUGCAUGCAUGCAUUUUUAUAAUCAAUUUGUUUAUUAUUACCGUGCAGAGUUGACGAUGGUCAGUGGAACGAUGGUGGACAGGUGGUUGCGGUCGGCGGUGCAGGACAUGAAAGAAAAUAACCGGACAGAGGUUUUAUGUCCGUGUCGAAAAUGCAAAGGAAUAGUUUGGCUCGACCCCCAUGACGAUGGUCGUGUCGAAGCGCACCUGCUCAUGACUGGUUUCAUGGAUGGCUAUACGCGAUGGAUAAUUGAAGAUGAGGAUGACGAUGUUGAGGAUGCCGACGGGGUAGGCAAUGAUGACACGGGGCAAGACGAAGAGAUGAUCGAUAAUGGCGGCGGGGAAGAGGCCGGACAUGGCGGCGGAGAAGGGGCCGGACAUGGCGGAGGAGAAGGGGCCAAACUAUUCAUCGGAAGGAGCACACGGAAAAAACAAGCUGUCCGGUGUGCAAUGCUUCUCGAUACAAGAAGGCCAGGAAGAAAUGUCCCCAGAAAGUUGUAUGGUACUUACUGAUCACUCCCUGUCUGCAGAGGUAUUUUGUAGAUCCCAAGGAAGCAAAGCUAAUGCGCUGGCAUGCGGAGAGGAAGAAGCCCGACGAUGGAGAUGAUCCGAAGCUGAGACACAUGAAGGAUGGAAGCCAGUGGAGAGCGUUGAACAGUUUCUAUCGGUAUUUUGAAUGUGAUGCAAGGAACAUCGUGCUCGGCGCGUGUACCGAUGGCAUGAAUCUGUUUGGCAACCAGAACACCAACCAUAGCACAUGGCCCGUGUUUGUAUGGAUGUACAACCUCCCCCCUGGUUGUGCAUGAAAUCGAAGUACAUUCCCAUGAGCAUGCUUAUUCAAGGGCCGAAACAACCAGGAAAUAAUACUAAUUUGUAUCUGGGACUACUUCAAGAGGAGUUAGACACGUUAUGGAAAACACCGGCCAAGACAUGGGACGCCAGCAAAGGUGAGUAUUUCAACAUGAGAGCCGCGCUGAUCACGACAGUGCAGGACUCUCUCGGUUACGGAUAUAUGGCAGGCCAGGUGUGCCAUGGAUAUUGCGGAUGCACGCGGUGCAUGGAUGAUACGACGUCUCAGUAGCUAACGUCAAGGAAAGAUGGCGGGUCUGGGAAAAUCGUGUACAUGGGGCAUCGAAGAUGGCUUGAACAGGACGACCCGUGGAGAAACCGUGGAGAUCUAUUCAAUGGUCACGCUGAGCAUCGAGGACCUCCACGUAAGCGAAGCGGUGCCGAAAUCGAUGAGCUGUUGAAAAACUGGAAGGAGUGCCCCGCGCUGGGAAAGACGAUGAGAAAGGCGCCGGAGCCGCUGCUGAAGGUAUGGAAGACGAGGUCUGUGUUCUGGGACUUGGAGUACUGGCACAAACUCGAUACACCUCAUAUUUGUAAGAAUGUCCUUGAGAGCUUGCUUGCAACACUGAUGAACAUGCCGGAUAAGACCAAGGAUGGGCCGAAGGCAAGAAAAGACUUGCAAGAUUUGAAAAUUAGGGAAGAUCUGCACAUGCCGCCCCGUAAAAUGUCAGACGAGACAGAGACGGAGACAGAGGCACGGGAGAAGAAGGGCAAGAAAAUAAAGAAAGAGGAUUAUUGCCCCCCUUCUUGCUUCACCUUAAGUCAGGCUGAGAUCAAUGCCUUCUUUAAGUGCCUUACCGGAGUGAAAGUUAGUUCCGGUUACUGUGGCAAGAUAAGCAGAUAUCUAGACACUGACAAGAAAAGGUUCAGCGGGAUGAAGUCUCAUGACUGUCAUGUGAUGAUGACACAGAUACUACCUGUUGCCCUUAGAGGGAUAAUGUGUUGGGGAACGUAGCAGAAAUUCAAAAAAUUUCCUACGUAACACCAAGAUCUAUCUAUGGAUAGACCAGCAACGAGUAGAAAGAGAGGAGAGUUUGCAUCUACAUACCCUUGUAGAUCGCUAAGCGGAAGCGUUCAAGUGAACGGGGUUGAUGGAGUCGUACUCGUCGUGAUUCAGAUCACCGAUGAUCAAGUGCCGAACGGACGGCACCUCCGCGUUCAACACACGUACAGCCCGGUGACGUCUCCCACGCCUUGAUCCAGCAAGGAGAGAGGGAGAGGUUGAGGAAGACUCCAUCCAACAGCAGCACAACGGCGUGGUGGUGGUGGAGGAGCGUGGCAAUCCCGCAGGGCUUCGCCAAGCACCAUGGGAGAAGAGGAGAGUAACUUGGGAGAGAGGGAGGGGCUGCACCAAAGGCAUAAGGUGUGUUUGGGAGGCCCUCCUACCCCACUAUUUAUAGGGAUCCCAAGGGGGGGGUGCGCCAGCCCCUAGGAGAUCCAAUCUCCAAGGAGGCGGCGGCCAGGGGAGGAGUCCUCCCCCCCCAAGGCACCUAGGAGGUGCCUUCCCCUGCUGGGACUCUUCCUUUAGGGUUUCCCCAGGCGCAUGGGCCUCUUGGGGCUGGUGCCCUUGGCCCAUGUAGGCCAAGGCGCACCCCCUACAGCCCAUGUGGCCCCCCGGGGCAGGUGGCCCCACCCGGUGGGCCCCCGGGACCCUUCCGGUGGUCCCGGUACAAUACCGAUGACCCUGAAACUUGUCCCGAUGGCCGAAACAGGACUUCCUAUAUAUAAAUCUUUACCUCCGGACCAUUCCGGAACUCCUCGUGACGUCCGGGAUCUCAUCCGGGACUCCGAACAACAUUCGGUAACCACAUACAAGCUUCCUUUAUAACCCUAGCGUCAUCGAACCUUAAGUGUGUAGACCCUACGGGUUCGGGAGACAUGUAGACAUGACCGAGACGUUCUCCGGUCAAUAACCAACAGCGGGAUCUGGAUACCCAUGAUGGCUCCCACAUGUUCCACGAUGAUCUCAUCGGAUGAACCACGAUGUCAAGGACUUAAUCAAUCCCGUAUUCAAUUCCCUUUGUCUAUCGGUAUGUUACUUGCCCGAGAUUCGAUCGUCGGUAUCCAACACCUUGUUCAAUCUCGUUACCGGCAAGUCACUUUACUCGUUCCAUAACACAUCAUCCCGUGAUCAACUCCUUGGUCACAUUGCGCAUAUGAUGAUGUCCUACCGAGUGGGCCCGGAGAUACCUCUCCAUUUACACGGAGUGACAAAUCCCAGUCUCGAUCCGCAUAAAACAAUAGAUACUUUCGGAGAUACCUGUAGUGCACCUUUAUAGUCACCCAGUUACGUUGUGACGUUUGAUACACCCAAAGCACUCCUACGGUAUCCAGGAGUUACACGCUCUCAUGGUCGAAGGAAGAGAUACUUGACAUUGGCAAAGCUCUAGCAAAUGAACUGCACGAUCUUUUGUGCUAGUCUUAGGAUUGGGUCUUGUCCAUCACAUCAUUCUCCUAAUGAUGUGAUCCCGUUAUCAACGACAUCCAAUGUCCAUAGCCAGGAAACCAUGACUAUCUGUUGAUCACAACGAGCUAGUCAACUAGAGGCUCACUAGGGACAUAUUGUGGUCUAUGUAUUCACACGUGUAUUACGAUUUCCGGAUAAUACAGUUAUAGCAUGAAUAAGAGACAAUUAUCAUGAACAAGGAAAUAUAAUAAUAAUACUUUUAUUAUUGCCUCUAGGGCAUAUUUCCAACAGUCUCCCACUUGCACUAGAGUCAAUAAUCUAGUUCACAUCGCCAUGUGAUUAACACUCACAGGUCACAUCGCCAUGUGACUAAUACCCAAGAGUUUACUAGAGUCAGUAGUCUAGUUCACAUCACUAUGUGAUUAACACUCAAUGAGUUUUAUGUUUGAUCAUGUUGCUUGUGAGAGAGGUUUUAGUCAAUGGGUCUGAACCUUUCAGAUCCGUGUGUGCUUUACAAAUCUUUAUGUCAUCUCCUAGAUGCAGCUACCACGCUCUAUUUGGAGCUAUUCCAAAUAACUGUUCUACUUGCAACUAUUCUAAAUUGUUGCCCCAUUGUACGUAUCCGGUAUCUCUACUUAGAGCUAUCCGGAUAGGUGUUAAGCUUGCAUCGACGUAACCUUUACGACGAACUCUUUUACCACCUCCAUAAUCGAGAAAAUUCCUUAGUCCACUAGUUACUAAGGAUAACUUUGACCGCUGUCCUGUGAGCCAUUCUUGGAUCACUCUUGUACCCCUUGACUGACUCAUGGCAAGGCACACUUCAGGUGCGAUACACAGCAUAGCAUACUGAAGAGCCUACGUCUUAAGCAUAGGGGACGACCUUCGUCCUUUCUCUCUAUUCUGCCGUGGUCGAGCUUUAAGUCUUAACUUCGUACCUUACAACUCAGGCAAGAACUCCUUCUUUGACUGGUCCAUCUUGAACACCUUCAAGAUCAUGUCAAGGUAUGUUCUCAUUUGAAAGUAUUAUUAAGCAUUUUGAUCUAUCCUUAUAGAUCUUGAUGUUCAAUGUUCAAGUAGCUUAAUCCAGGUUUUCUAUUGAAAACACCUUUCAAAUAACCCUAUAUGCUUUCUAGAAAUUCUACAUCAUUUCUGAUCAACAAUAUGUCAAGAACAUAUACUCAUCAGAAAUUCUAUAGUGCUCCCACUCACUUCUUUGGAAAUACAAGUUUCUCAUAAACUUUGUACAAACCCAAAAUCUUUGAUCAUCAUCAAAGCAUACAUUCCAACUCCGAGAUGCUUACUCCAGUCCUUAGAAGGAUUGCUGGAGCUUUGCAUACUUAUUAGCAUCUUUUGGGAUUGACAAAACCUUCCGGUUGUAUCACAUACAACCUUUCCUCAAGUAUAACGUCGAGGAAACAAUGUUUUGACAUCCUAUCUGCAAGAUUUCAUCAAUCAUGCAGUAACUGCUAAUCCAAUUCCAACAGACUCUUAGCAUCGCUACGAGUGAGAAAACCUCACCGUAAUCAACUCCUUGAACUUGUCGGAAAAUAUCUUAGCGACAAGUCGAGCUUUCUUAAUGGUAAUUCUUACCAUCAUUGUCUGUCUUCCUUUUAAAAUCCAUCCGUACCCAAUGGCCUUACGACCAUCAAGUAUUUCUUCCAAAGUCUACACUUUGUUUUCAUACAUGGAUCCUCUCUCGGAUUUUAUGGCCUCGAGCCAUUUAUCGGAAUCCGGGCCCACCAUUGCUUCUCCAUAGCUCGUAGGUUCAUUGUUGUCUAGCAACAUGACCUUCAAGACAGGAUUACGUACCACUCUGAAGUAGUACGCAUCCUUGUCAUCCCACGAGGUUUGGUAGUGACUUGAUCCGAAGUUUCAUGAUCAAUAUCAUAAGCUUCCACUUCAAUUGGUGUAGGUGCCACAGGAACAACUUCCUGUGCCCUGCUACACACUUGUUGAAGAGACGGUUCAAUAACCUCAUCAAGUCUCCACCAUCCUCCCACUCAAUUCUUUCGAGAGAAACUUUUCCUCGAGAAAGGACCCGAUUCUAGAAACAAUCCAUAUUGCUUUCGGAUCUGAAUUAGGAGGUAUACCCAACUGUUUUGGGUUUCCUAUGAAGAUGCAUUUUAUCCGCUUUGGGUUCGAGCUUAUCAACCUGAAACUUUUUCAUAUAAGCGUCGCAGCCCCAAACUUUUAAGAAACGACAACUUAGGUUUCUCUAAACCAUAAUUCAUACGGUGUCAUCUCAACGGAAUUACGUGGUGCCCUAUUUAAAGUGAAUGUGGUUGUCUCUAAUGCCUAACCCAUGAACAAUAGUGGUAAUUCGAUAAGAGACAUCAUGGUACGCACCAUAUCCAAUAGGGUGCAACUAUGAUGUUCGGACACACCAUCACACUAUGGUGUUCCAGGCGGUAUUAAUUGUGAAACUAUUUCCACAAUGUCUUAAUUGUGUGCCAAAACUCGUAACUCAGAUAUUCAUCUCUAUGAUCAUAUCAUAGACAUUUUAUCCUCUUGUCACAAUGAUCUUCUACUUCACUCUGAAAUUACUUGAACCAUUCAAUGAUUCAGACUUGUGUUUCAUCAAGUAAAUAUUCUCAACAUCUACUCGAAUCAUCUGUGAAGUAAGAUCAUAACGAUAUUCACUGCAUGCCUCAGCACUCAUUGGACUACACACAUCAAAAUGUGUUACUUCCAACAAGUUGCUAUCUUGUUCCAUCUUACUGAAACCGAGGCUUUUCAGUCAUCUUGCCCAUGUGGUAUGAUUUGCAUAUCUCAAGUGAUUCAAAAUCAAGUGAGUUCAAACGGUCCAUUUGCAUGGAGUUUCUUCAUGCAUAUAUACCAAUAGACAUGGUUCGCAUGUCUCAAACUUUUCAAAAAUGAGUGAGUCCAAAGAUCCAUCAACAUGGAGCUUCUUCAUGCAUUUUAUACCAUUAUGACUUACAUGGCAGUGCCACAAGUAAGUGGUACUAUCAUUACUAUCUUAUAUCUUUUGGCAUGAAAAUGUGUAUCCCUACGAUCAAGAUUCAAUAAACCAUUCCUUUAGGUGCAAGAGCACUUAUUCAGGUUUAAUACUAAUCUUGAUGGUAGAGGGAGCGUGCGAUGUUUGAUUAUAUCAAACUUGGAAACACUUCCAACACAUAUCGUCAGCUCUCCUUUAGCUAGUCUCCGUUUAUUCCGUAGCCUUUUAUUUCGAGUUACUAACACUUAGCAACCGAACCGGUAUCUAAUACCCUGGUGCUACUAGGAGUACUAGUAAAGUACACAUUAACAUAAUGUAUAUCCAAUAUACUUCUAUCGACCUUGCCAGCCUUCUCGUCUACCAAGUAUCUAGGGUAAUGCUGCUCCAGUGGUUGUUCCCCUUAUUACAGAAGCACUUAGUCUCGGGUUUGGGUUCAACCUUGGGUUUCUUCACUUGAGCAGCAACUUGAAUUGCCGUUUCAUGAAGUAUACCUUUGUUCCCUUGCCCUUCUGGAAACUAGUGGUUUCACCAACCAUCAACAAUUGAUGCUCCUUCUUGAUUUCUACUUUCGCGGUGUCAAACAUCGUGAAUACCUCAAGGAUCAUCUUAUUUAUCCCUUAUAUGUUAUAGUUCAUCACGAAGCUCUAGCAGCUCGGUGGCAAUGACUUUGGGAAAACAUCACUAUCUCAUCUGGAAGAUCAACUCCCACUCGAUUCAAGUGAUUGUUGCACUCAGACAAUCUGAGCACAAGCUCAACGAUUGAGCUUUUCUCCCUUAGUUUGCAGGCUAAGAAAAUCGUCGGAGGUCUCAUACCUCUUGACGUGGGCACAAGCCUGAAAUCCCAAUUUCAGCCCUCGAAACAUCUCAUAUGUUCCGCGACGUUUCGAAAACGUCUUUGGUGCCUCUACUUAAACCAUUUAACUGAACUAUCACGUAGUUAUCAAAACGUGUAUGUCCGAUGUUCGCAACAUCCACAAACGACAUUUGGGGUUCAGCACACUAAGCGGUGCAUUAAGGACAUAAGCUAUCUACUGUCUGCAUAAUCGCUACUUUCAACUUUCAACUAUAUUUUCUCUAGGAACAUAUCUAAAAUAGUAGAACUAAAGCGCGAGCUACGACAUAAUUUGCAAAAUCCUUUUGACUAUGUUCAGGAUAAUUAAGUUCAUCUUAUGAACUCCCACUCAGAUAGACAUCCCUCUGGUCAUCUAAGUGAUCACAUGAUCCGAGUCAACUAGGCCGUGUCCGAUCAUCACGUGAGACGGACUAGUUAACGUCGGUGAACAUCUUCAUGUUGAUCGUAUCUGCUAUACGAUUCAUGCUCGACCUUUCGGUCUCCGUGUUCCGAGGCCAUGUCUGUACAUGCUAGGCUCGUCAAGUUAACCCUAAGUGUUUUCGCUGUGUAAAACUGUCUUACACCCGUUGUAUGUGAACGUAAGAAUCCAUCACACCCGAUCAUCACGUGGUGCUUAGAAGCGACGAACUGUAGCAACGGUGCACAGUUAGGGGAGAACACUUCUUGAAAUUGUUGUAAGGGAUCAUCUUAUUUACUACCGUCGUUCUAAGCAAACAAGAUGCAUAAACAUGAUAAACAUCACAUGCAAUCAAAUAGAGUAGUGACAUGAUAUGGCCAAUAUCAUUUUGCUCCUUUUGAUCUUCAUCUUCGGGGCUCCAUGAUCAUCUUGUCACCGGCAUGACACCAUGAUCUCCAUCAUCAUGAUCUCCAUCAUCGUGUCUUCAUGAAGUUGUCACGCCAACGACUACUUCUACUUCUAUGGCUAACGCGUUUAGCAAUAAAGUAAAGUAAGUUACAUGGCGUUCUUCAAUGACACGCAGGUCAUACAAAAAAAUAAAGACAACUCCUAUGGCUCCUGCCAGUUGUCAUACUCAUCGACAUGCAAGUCGUGAAUCCUAUUACAAGAACAUGAUCAAUCUCAUACAUCACAUAUAUCAUUCAUCACAUCCUUUGGCCAUAUCACAUCACAUAGCAUACCCUGCAAAAACAAGUUAGACGUCCUCUAAUUGUUGUUGCAUGUUUUACGUGGCUGCUAUGGGUUUCUAGCAAGAACGUUUCUUACCUACGCAAGACCACAACGUGAUAUGCCAAUUGCUAUUUACCCUUCAUAAGGACCCUUUUCAUCGAAUCCGUUCCGACUAAAGUGGGAGAGACUGGCACCCGCUAGCCACCUUAUGCACCAAGUGCAUGUCAAUCGGUGGAACCUGUCUCACGUAAGAGUACGUGUAAGGUCGGUCCGGGCCGCUUCAUCCCACAAUACCGUCGAAACAAGAUUGGACUAGUAACGGUAAGCAUAUUGAACAACAUCAACGCCCACAACUACUUUGUGUUCUACUCGUGCAAAGAAUCUACGCAAUAGACCUAGCUCAUGAUGCCACUGUUGGGGAACGUAGCAGAAAUUCAAAAAAUUUCCUACGUAACACCAAGAUCUAUCUAUGGAGAGACCAGCAACGAGUAGAAAGAGAGGAGAGUUUGCAUCUACAUACCCUUGUAGAUCGCUAAGCGGAAGCGUUCAAGUGAACGGGGUUGAUGGAGUCGUACUCGUCGUGAUUCAGAUCACCGAUGAUCAAGUGCCGAACGGACGGCACCUCCGCGUUCAACACACGUACAGCCCGGUGACGUCUCCCACGCCUUGAUCCAGCAAGGAGAGAGGGAGAGGUUGAGGAAGACUCCAUCCAACAGCAGCACAACGGCGUGGUGGUGGUGGAGGAGCGUGGCAAUCCCGCAGGGCUUCGCCAAGCACCAUGGGAGAAGAGGAGAGUAACUUGGGAGAGAGGGAGGGGCUGCACCAAAGGCAUAAGGUGUGUUUGGGAGGCCCUCCUACCCCACUAUUUAUAGGGAUCCCAAGGGGGGGGUGCGCCAGCCCCUAGGAGAUCCAAUCUCCAAGGAGGCGGCGGCCAGGGGAGGAGUCCUCCCCCCCCAAGGCACCUAGGAGGUGCCUUCCCCUGCUGGGACUCUUCCUUUAGGGUUUCCCCAGGCGCAUGGGCCUCUUGGGGCUGGUGCCCUUGGCCCAUGUAGGCCAAGGCGCACCCCCUACAGCCCAUGUGCCCCCCCGGGGCAGGUGGCCCCACCCGGUGGGCCCCCGGGACCCUUCCGGUGGUCCCGGUACAAUACCGAUGACCCCGAAACUUGUCCCGAUGGCCGAAACAGGACUUCCUAUAUAUAAAUCUUUACCUCCGGACCAUUCCGGAACUCCUCAUGACGUCCGGGAUCUCAUCCGGGACUCCGAACAACAUUCGGUAACCACAUACAAGCUUCCUUUAUAACCCUAGCGUCAUCGAACCUUAAGUGUGUAGACCCUACGGGUUCGGGAGACAUGCAGACAUGACCGAGACGUUCUCCGGUCAAUAACCAACAGCGGGAUCUGGAUACCCAUGAUGGCUCCCACAUGUUCCACGAUGAUCUCAUCGGAUGAACCACGAUGUCAAGGACUUAAUCAAUCCCGUAUUCAAUUCCCUUUGUCUAUCGGUAUGUUACUUGCCCGAGAUUCGAUCGUCGGUAUACCGAUACCUUGUUCAAUCUCGUUACCGGCAAGUCACUUUACUCGUUCCGUAACACAUCAUCCCGUGAUCAACUCCUUGGUCACAUUGCGCAUAUGAUGAUGUCCUACCGAGUGGGCCCAGAGAUACCUCUCCGUUUACACGGAGUGACAAAUCCCAGUCUCGAUUCGUGCCAACCCAACAGACACUUUCGGAGAUACCUGUAAUGCAUCUUUAUAGCCACCCAGUUACAUUGUGACGUUUGGUACACCCAAAGCAUUCCUACGGUAUCCGGGAGUUGCACAAUCUCAUGGUCUAAGGAAAAGAUACUUGACAUUGGCAAAGCUUUAGCAAAUGAACUACACGAUCUUUUGUGCUAGUCUUAGGAUUGGGUCUUGUCCAUCACAUCAUUCUCCUAAUGAUGUGAUCCCGUUAUCAACGACAUCCAAUGUCCAUAGCCAGGAAACCAUGACUAUCUGUUGAUCACAAUGAGCUAGUCAACUAGAGGCUCACUAGGGACAUAUUGUGGUCUAUGUAUUCACACGUGUAUUACGAUUUCCGGAUAAUACAGUUAUAGCAUGAAUAAGAGACAAUUAUCAUGAACAAGGAAAUAUAAUAAUAAUACUUUUAUUAUUGCCUCUAGGGCAUAUUUCCAACAUAAUGGACAAGCACGUCCGUGACACGCUUAUUGGUCUCUGCAACUUUUUCGACGUCAUCUCUCGAAAGUCGAUCAGUGUGAAGCAGCUCCAAAGGCUACAGGAAGAGAUUGUUGUGAUACUGAAUGAGCUUGAGAUGUACUUCCCGCCCGCGUUCUUUGACGUGAUGGUGCAUCUGUGUGUCCAUAUUGUGGAUGACAUGAUAGACCUGGGGGCCGUCAUUCCUGCACAACAUGAUGCCAUUUGAGAGGAUGAAUGGGGUCAUCAAAGGAUUCGUUCGUAACAUGUCCCGUCCGGAUGGAAGCAUCGUCCAGGGCUAUUUGGCACAAGAGUGCAUCUCUUUCUGUGAGAAUUUUCUAUAUGGCGCAGACCAGCCACCUGGUGUUAGUGUUGGUUUGCCCGUUAACAAGCACGAUGGGAGGCUUGAAGGAGAUGGUCACUGCAACGGUCGCAAGGAACUGCACAUGGCAUACUCAGAUUGAUGCAGCGACUUUGACAGAGCAAACUUGGUAGUGCUACAACACCUAGAUGAGGUAGAUCCUUUCGUGGCACUGCACAAAGAAAUUACCGCAAAGAAGUAUCGUGACCGGGGGGUAUGCAGGACGGACGCCGAAGUUACUAGAGAGCACAACUCCACUUUCCUGCAUUGGUUCAAGAACAUAUUAUUGCUAAUCCUCCGGAGGAGGGCUCUAAGGACGGAUUGCUCAUAUACUCCUUAGCACAUGGCCCCUCGCCCAACCUCGUAACCUAUCAGGCAUAUGAUAUCAACGGAUACACAUUCUACACGGAGGCCAAAGAUAUGGACAGUGAUGAUCAGAACUCAGGGGUGACGAUGGAAUGCAUGACCGGCAACGACAACGGCACAACUGAAAGAUUUUAUGGAAGGGUCGAGGAGAUCUGGGAGCUUGACUACUCUGGACUGCACAACACGACGAUGUUCCGUGUCAGAUGGGCUAAGAAUGUCGAAAGAGAAAGCCGGAUUUUCACUACCAUGACUAUACCCUACGCCAAGAGCGCUACCGUGAACGCUAUCACAAAAAAUGAGCCAUGGGUACACGCUAAGCACGUGACACAAUGCUUCUUCAUAACUGACCCGCGCAAUCCCAACCGCGUUGUCCUGAGGAGAGGCAAAAGGAACGUCAUUGGAAUGGAUGGAGUCGCCAACGAGGAAGACUAUGAUCAGUACGACAACCCAAUGAGGGAAGAUGACGAUGAUGAUGAAGUAUACGUCAAAAGAAGAAUCAAUACUACAUUACCUAAGAAAAAUCGUACUCCAUGGAAAAGGCAAAGUCACAAUGAGGAGCUCAAUUAUUCUUCGACGAACAAGAAGGGAAAGAAGUUGACUCAAAAAUGAAAACAUCAGCACUGAGGAAACUUAUGUUAUCGGUCAAAUGAUGUAAUAUAUAUAUAUAUAUAUGUUCCUAUUUUGUAUACACACUUAGCCAUUAUUAUGCAUGGGUCCAAUGAUGUGUAAUAUAUAUGUUCCUAUUUUUGCAUACAUAUUUAACCGUCAAAUGAUGCAAUAUAUAUCGCCCUCCCUUCAUUCACUGCCCUCGGGAAAUAAAAGUGGGAUAAAAUAAAGGAAAAGAAAAAGGAAAACUGGCAGUAGCGAAGGUAGUAGCAGCGCGUUUUGCCUAAACUGCUACAGAUACUAAAGUUAGUAGAAGCAAAUUUCGUAUAAAGCGCUACAGCUACUGAAGGUAGUAGCAGCGCGUUUUGUGCAAAUGCGCUACUGCUAUGUCCACUUAACCCAAAAUUCUCACCCGCCCCGCUUCAUCCCGCCUUCCCCCCCCCCCAAAAUCCCCACUCUCCCCCGUCGCACCGCCGCGCCCGACCCGGCCCCGGCGCUCGCCCCCGACUCCGGCGCCGGCGCUAGCUCCCAACCCCGNNNNNNNNNNNNNNNNNNNNNNNNNNNNNNNNNNNNNNNNNNNNNNNNNNNNNNNNNNNNNNNNNNNNNNNNNNNNNNNNNNNNNNNNNNNNNNNNNNNNNNNNNNNNNNNNNNNNNNNNNNNNNNNNNNNNNNNNNNNNNNNNNNNNNNNNNNNNNNNNNNNNNNNNNNNNNNNNNNNNNNNNNNNNNNNNNNNNNNNNNNNNNNNNNNNNNNNNNNNNNNNNNNNNNNNNNNNNNNNNNNNNNNNNNNNNNNNNNNNNNNNNNNNNNNNNNNNNNNNNNNNNNNNNNNNNNNNNNNNNNNNNNNNNNNNNNNNNNNNNNNNNNNNNNNNNNNNNNNNNNNNNNNNNNNNNNNNNNNNNNNNNNNNNNNNNNNNNNNNNNNNNNNNNNNNNNNNNNNNNNNNNNNNNNNNNNNNNNNNNNNNNNNNNNNNNNNNNNNNNNNNNNNNNNNNNNNNNNNNNNNNNNNNNCUCUCUCUGCUAGGGUUCUUCGGUUAAUUUAAUUAGGUUUUAGUUAGGGCAGUAUGUUAAUUAGGUUAUCUAUUUAGUUAUGAAUUUAGCUAGGUUUCAAAAUUUGAACUGGACAUGUGAUAUGUGCAAAUUUGAACUGGACAUGUGAUAUGUGCAUAUGUCAUGUUUUGGACAUGUCAUGUUUGGAAAAUGAUCCGAGUGGCCUAUGUUACGCUGGAAUGUUGAUUCAUUUCCGUUCCGGUGAAUUUCAGGCGCUCGAUAUGUCCAUUUUUUAGCAAAGGUCAUGCCGAAAUUUCCCGUGAAUAAAGGCAUGAUUUUGUGCUACAUAGUUGGCAUAUCGAGUGCUGGCACGUAGAUUUCUUUUUAUGUCAUUUCUCAUUUAUUCAUACUUUUAGAAAUAAAUGAGGACACUUAAUCAUAGGAAACAUGUCGAACAACGAAGAAACUGGGCCUUCUGACCAAGAUGCAGACGAGAUGGAUUAUGAGGGUGAACAAGAGUACCUCGACUAUUUGACUGCUAAGCAAGGUUUGCAGGUCGGCCUCGAUGAUGGUACUGACGCCGACAUCGACACCGACAGCGCCGGCACCGAUGGCGGCACCGAGACCGGUGGGGAAGGUACCGGCGGGGAAGGUACCGGCCCCGAUGCCGCUACCGCAAAGAGGAAGCAUAAGAAGCAGAGGAUAUGAAAACCUAACAAACUUGGGAUUGGACGACUUGUGAUCACAAAGAUGGCACUUGGCAAGUUUGAGCCGUUAGAGCCGGAAGAACCUCGCAAGUGCUAUGGGAACCAAGUAGGAUGCAUCCUACGGGAAUGCGCGAGCAUCAACGACGAUGACUUAAGGAGUAAAGAACAUUUGACGCAGUUGCUCCUAACAAAGUUGCACAAGAGAUUCAAGUUCCCCGACCGGGAUGAUAACAUAGAACAACCGUGGGAUGAUCCGAAGAUGAAAAAGAUUAACAAUCACGCCAUGGGCAUGUUCAGCAAUGAUUUGGCCUCCUGGAAAAUGAGGGUGAAACGAGCUAUUGAGACUGAUGAACCCCUGUCCAAGAUUCUGGAGGAAAAUCCGACACUUAUGGAAGAGGAGUUCGAAAAGUUCAAGGACACUUGUGCUAGCGAGGCAGCCAAGGCUAAGGCUGCGAAGUUCAAGAGCCUUCAGCAAAGGAACACGGGGAAGCAUCGCCUCGGAAGCCGUGGCUACCUCGGUAAAAGGCCCAUAUGGGAUAAGGAGGACGCGGAACAUGAAGCCGCGGGUCUCCCAGACCCCUUCGCGAAGUUCACCAACCCCUUGGAGCAUGACUUCAUCAGGGCCCGCUACAAGUGGGACAAGGAGAAAAAGGUUUUUUACACGAACAAGAUCACGAGGAAAUUGAUUAGACUACUGGAGAAGCAACACCAGCUUGCAGCCAAAAGCCCUACUUCUCCGAUGAGGCCCAAGUGGGACACCCCUCUCAACCGGGCCUUGAACUAACUUAAGGGACUCCCUUUGGAUCAGCGGCCGCAAUAUGGUCGUGUGCACGGCGCUGGAGACGGCGCCACGUGGAAGGUGUUUUACAACGAGGGCCUGGAGGCCAAGAAGCUGAAAACAAAGUUUAGUCAGGCGGACAUUGACGCGAAGGUGAAGCUUGCGGUCGAGAAAAAAGCAGCUGAGGACGCGAAAAAAGCAGCCGAGGACAAAUAUGAGUUGCUACAGCAGGCAGUCAAUGCAGCUGUAACUGCCUGCAGAAAUAAUUUUGCUACUAACUUGGUUCCAGUUAUCAUCAACUGGGCGAAGGAAAAUCCAGACAAGACGGUACAUGAUUUCCCGAUGCCCAGUUUCGUCGGGAGCAACUCCAUGAACAACAACACCAUCGCACCAUCACUUGCUCACGCAACUGGGCCUCCUCUCGCAGCCGCUCCCACUCAUAGCAGCCCGUCCUUAGUCUCAGGCGCGCUAGGUGGGCCUUCGUCUUUGGCUGAGCUCGACGCCGUCACGAUAAUUACAUGUCGCACGAACAUAUAUAUAUAUAUAUAAUAUUCCAUUUUUGUUGCCUUUCGGUUGUUUUACGCCACAGACAUAUGUGUUUGCAGGCGAAAGAAACCCCGUGCACCAUACUCUACUUGAUCAAAGGCCAGAAGGUGGACGUGGGACAGGGGAUGAUAAUGGACCCCUCUCAACGCAUGUUCCACAACCAGCCGAUCCCCGCUAGGCACUUCAGGGUUAGCUUGACCAGUGUGAAAUCGGGGCACGAGGAUUUGCCUCCUCCAGUACAGCAUGUGGAAGCGGACGACGAGACCCCGCCACGGAUUGGAAGCUGCAAGAAUUGGGUGCUGCUAUGGCCGAAGAAUCUUAUUCAUCUGGAGCCGGCCGAGAGCACACCAAUAACUACCACACAUCAACAAGCAUGUGCGAAGACCACCACCCCGCCUAUGCAAUUACCAGCUCCUGUAGUGCCGGGUGAGAGCAGCGGACGACAUGAUGAAGGGGGUGCAAUAGUACUGGCUGAUGUAAUUUCUCCUGUAGAACAGAGAAUGGAUGAUGAGACGGAGGUCGACCCUAUGGAUUACCUCAAUAAAACGCGUAUGACUGUGACAUAGAUAUGAUGAGUCAACCAUAUGAUGAAUCAGGCUAUCAGCUUGCUAAUGAGGAUAUGGAUGAUAUGCCCGGGCAGGGUCGUACCAUGGAUUGCAAAAAGUCUCUCUUCAUGAAAUCCUCACAGGACACGCCUGAAGAUGCCGCCUCAACAUAGGCUCAACUAGCCAGGCACGAGGGUCGUACAGUACUUAGCCUGGGAACACUGGGGCAGGGGUUAAGGAAGGGUUUGGAAGGUGUGCCCAAGAAAAAGGAGAGGAAGAGAUCGGGGAAGGUAACUGUCUCCAAACAAGCAAGAGCACAUAGCAGCCAGACGAUGCAUUCUCAAGAGUGUGUACCCAUGAAAAGUGCGGUCAUGUUCCAUCUCACGGGCGAGCCGAUGCUACCGCCAAAACCGCUGGAGGCACUAUCAGGGGAUCUCAGGAGACUGCACGACCAUGUGCUGUCGACUGAGAAAAGCCUACUAGCCUCAAAGGAUCCAGGAUAUCUGACAUACGCAGCUCGUGUGCCUGAAGGGAAGUGCUACGUCGACACACGGCCCACGGAGGUGUUCUUCCUGCGGUUUGACCAUAUCUUUGAGAUGUUUCUAACAAGGUGGCUUGAUUUUACUAUCGUCCGCCUUUUUGCGCUACAUAUGAGCUCUGUCAUGAAGAGUGAAGAAGUCUCGCAAAUCUGUGUGGCGGAUCCGUACUACAUGCAUGAGUCUUUCUUGAGUCUCGACGACUUUGAGCGUGAAACUGCUAGGGAGUACCUCCAAAACUUCAUGGUACAGAAUAAGGACCGGGAAAUUGUCCUCGUGCCUUAUCAUCCAAAGUAAGUCAGUUCCGGACAACCUUCGUACAUUUCAAUCAUUCCUUCUCUCUCAUAUGGGGAAUAAUUUGAGGUGCCUUUUCCCCGCAGCAACGGGCGCGCUGUCCUUAUCGUUCUUUACCCGCAGGUCUCCCACGCCGUGUAUUUUGACCCUUCCAGAGACUACGAGAAAAAAGACUACACCCACAUAAUGAAUAUUCUAGAUGAUGCUCUCCAAGGCUUCAGCUUUAGAGGUGGCCACGUGCAGAUCAAGAAACAAAGGAACAAGAAGAUGGGCUUCGCGCAUAAAACUAACUUCUCCUGCAUCCAUGUCCCAAAACCAAGCAAGAAGGAUGGAUUCUACAUCGUCCAUCUCAUGAUUCAGUUCAACACGGAUCACCAAAAGCUUUGCACUAACAGCAGAAAUGAUGAUCGUAUCCACAAGUGGCUAGAAUCUCAUGGAGAAGCGGAUUAUAAACUUAGAGAUGACUUCUUUCGCAUCCAAAGCGACAUUGCAACGAUCAUCAUGAAAGAAGUCUUCGAUGAGAAGGGGAUGUUCCACCACGGCCCUAUAUCGCGAGCUGACGUCCGAACUCGCAUAGGAAUGCAAGCUAGGGUUUGUCCUCGAUGAUAUGGAAGGAUGGAACUUCUAGUGAUUUAUGAUGCCGAUGAUGAUGAUAUGUGUCGGUUGAACUUGUAUACUUCUUGUAGCGAUGAAACUUUGUGAUGUCCACGGUCCAUGCCGAACAUGCGUAACGCUACUUUGUUAGUUUGCGUACGAUGACCUGCGUACCUCUAGUUAAUUAAUUUGCGUACUGUAUGUUGCAUCUAGUUGUUAAUCCUUUCUUUUUCGGUGUUGCUCUAGUAUAUUUUGUUGCAUAUAUAUGAUUGUACAUCCUCUUCAUGAACAUGCAUCUCUAACAGGUACCUAGUUUCUUGAUGGCGAGAUGGAAUUGCUAUGUCGUGUACAAAGGGAAGGUUCCGGGGGUGUACAACGAGUGGCAUGAGUGUCAGGCGCAAGUGAAUGGGUUCAUGGGCGCCAGCCAUAAAGGCUUCAAAAGCAGACAAGAAGGAGAAGCUAGUUACUUGAGGUUCACGCUAGCGCGAGAGAGGACUCGUAACCGCCACCUCAUGUACUGCAUAGUUCUGCUCUCACUCAUAGUGAUAGCACUUCUUGCGUAUACCUUUGUUUAGAUGGAUGACGUUGUUGUAGUUGCAAGUAUUCGAGACUUGCAUGUAUCACUAUUUUCGAGAUGAUGACAAGAUAUCACUUUGUGUUGGAUGAUGAUUAUGAUGAGACUAUUUGUAUGUACAUGCUAUGAUUACAUUUGUGGUCUCGCAGACAUUUGUAUGUGUAUCAUGAUGACAUUUCUAUGUGCUAAAGAUUCUUCUAUAAAGCCUGUUCAAAUACAAAACAAAUAUGCCAAAAAAAUAACAAAAAAACCUACUUAAAUUAGCAGUAGCGAGUGUACAAAAAUUAGCAGCAGCGCCGCGGUAGCAGUAGCGCGUCAAGGUAAAACGCGCUAGAGCUACUAGCAGUAGCGAGCUUCCGCAAACAGCGCUGCUGCUACACUUGUGUAGCAGUAGCGCCGGUGAGCACGCGCUACUGCUAUAUGUUAGCUGUAGCGCCUUAUUAGUAGCGCCUCUCCCUGCACUACUGAUACAUCUAAAACCCGCGCUGCUGCUAGCCUUUUCCCUAGUAGUUGAGCCUGACGCACAUCAGAGUUGACAUUUCUGACCUCCAUUUUGCUGCUCCGGGAGAAGACUAUGCUAAUAUAAUUGAAUCUCAAAAGUGAACCAAUUAUAGCAUACUGAAAAAACCAUCAAAAGUGACCAAACUCGAGCAUAUGCACUUUAACACAGUAGCCAAGCAACUAAAAAACAGAAAUUCUUGAGAAUUGCCAUGGAGUCUUAAACAAACAUGAUCUCUGAAAAUAAUACACUGGAAUAAAUUAACCAUUCUAACAAUGUCCAUGGACCUGCAGGCACAACCAAAUCGAAAGAAAGCUGAGGAUCACGGAAGGGAGAGUGAGUAGGAGGAGAGGCAAAGCAAGGGAAUGGAAGAAAAGCUCACAAGGAAGGUGCAGCCAGAAGGGAAGAGGGAGUUCGACGGCAUUGCUACUCCUUAAUGGUGCGCCUCCGCCAUGACGGUGCAACCAGGGCCCUUGCUCGACGACGCGGGACCGGCC
rnacentral:lncRNA from 1 species